CCUGCCCCUGGAUGGUGUUGCCGCGGGUGUGGCUGCUGUGUCUCCUGUUCGUCAGUAGGUGGCAGAGAGGAGAAAGGCUGUGUCUACACAGUGUUCUGACCUGUGCACAUCUUCGCGAUCAGUAGCCUAACGUU
ensembl:snoRNA